rnacentral:tRNA from 1 species
CAUUAGAUGACUGAAAAGCAAGUAAUGGUCUCUUAAACCAUAAUAUAGUAACUUUAGCAUUUACUUCUAAUGA